rnacentral:rRNA from 1 species
CCUACGGGUGGCAGCAGUGAGGAAUAUUGGUCAAUGGACGAGAGUCUGAACCAGCCAAGUAGCGUGAAGGAUGACUGCCCUAUGGGUUGUAAACCUCUUUUAUCUGGGAGUAAAGUGUUCCACGUGUGGGCUUUUGUAUGUACCCUAUGAAUAAGGCAUCGCCAACCUCGUGCCCGCCGCCGCGGUAAUUCGGGGGAUUCGAGCGUUUAUCGGGUUUUUUUGGUUUAAAGGGAGCCUACGUGGAUUGGUAAGUUAGUUGGGAAAGUUUGCGGCUCAACCGUAGAAGUGCAGUUGAAACUGGCAGUCGUGAGUGCAGGAGAGGUGGGCGGAAUGCGUGGUGUAGCGGUGAAAUGCUUAGAUAUCACGAAGAACUCCGAUUGCGAAGGCAGCUCACUGGAGUGCAACUGACACUGAGGCACGAAAGUGUGGGUAUCAAACAGGAUUAGAUACCCCAGUAGUC